AACAGCAGAGAUUGAGCUUGAAAAAGCUUCGUUCCUUUAUGUACAGCUGACCAAGGCGUUGAGAGCUUUUAAUUUAGUUUUCAAUUUUCAAAUUACAAUGAGGAUCUUCACACAGCUAAUUAUGUUGACCACUCAACUGUUUUACCAAUAUGUCGCAAUUGUGCAGUUAGCUGCAAAUGAUAGUAGCUACGUUGCUCAACAACAUUUUGUGAUGUUUACAUCGACCGUCUUUUCAAUGUACGAAUUAUUGACAAUCGCAUUUGCUUGCAAUUCACUGGUUAGGGAGGCUCAACUAACAGCCGUAAUUUUUCAUAAACGGAAUGAUUCAAAAUUGAAAAAUGUCGACAUAUUCUCGACUUGGAUUUUAUUAAACAAGCUGAGGAUUACUGAUU